GAUGAACGCUGGCGGCGUGCCUAAUACAUGCAAGUCGAGCGAACAGACGAGGAGCUUGCUCCUCUGACGUAGCGGCGGACGGGUGAGUAACACGUGGAUAACCUACCUAUAAGACUGGGAUAACUUCGGGAAACCGGAGCUAAUACCGGAUAAUAUAUUGAACCGCAUGGUUCAAUAGUGAAAGACGGUUUUGCUGUCACUUAUAGAUGGAUCCGCGCCGCAUUAGCUAGUUGGUAAGGUAACGGCUUACCAAGGCAACGAUGCGUAGCCGACCUGAGAGGGUGAUCGGCCACACUGGAACUGAGACACGGUCCAGACUCCUACGGGAGGCAGCAGUAGGGAAUCUUCCGCAAUGGGCGAAAGCCUGACGGAGCAACGCCGCGUGAGUGAUGAAGGUCUUCGGAUCGUAAAACUCUGUUAUUAGGGAAGAACAAAUGUGUAAGUAACUAUGCACGUCUUGACGGUACCUAAUCAGAAAGCCACGGCUAACUAUGUG
rnacentral:rRNA from 1 species